GUAUUCUUUUACACAACUCUUUCUUUUUUCUAUCUUGGUUCUUGACUUUCUUCCCAUUUCUUGUUCAGGAUCCUGUGUAACUGACUGUUCCUUUUGCCACCGAUUUGGGUUCUGUGAAACAUCCAGGAGGUCUUUCUCUGUCGCCCAGGCCGGAGUGCAGUGGGGAGAUCUCAGCUCACUGCAACCUCUGCCUCCCUGACUCAAGCAAUUCUCAUGCCCCAGCCUCCAGAUCAGCUGGGAUUACAAGCACCACCACACAUGGCUAAUUUUUGUAUUUCUAGUAGAGAUGGGGUUUCAUCAUGUUGGCAGGGCUGAUCUCGAACCCCUGACCUCAGGUGGUCUGCCUGCCUUAGCUCUCAAAGUGCUGGUACUACAGGCAUCAGCCACUGAACCCUCUAAUUACAUCUUUUUUAAAAAGAAAUCCCAUGUCCCCAUAUACUAUACAAUACCUUUAUAUACUUUACUAUAGUUCUAUUUAUUAUAUAUGUAUAUUUAAU
rnacentral:lncRNA from 1 species